GACGAACGCUGGCGGCGUGCUUAACACAUGCAAGUCGAGCGGAAAGGCCCUUCGGGGUACUCGAGCGGCGAACGGGUGAGUAACACGUGAGUAACCUGCCCUGGACUUUGGGAUAACCCUCGGAAACGGGGGCUAAUACCGGAUACGACUUUUCCUCGCAUGAGGUUUGGUGGAAAGUUUUUCGGUCUGGGAUGGCUCGCGGCCUAUCAGCUUGUUGGUGGGGUGAUGGCCUACCAAGGCGACGACGGGUAGCCGGCCNGAGAGGGCGACCGGCCACACUGGGACUGAGACACGGCCCAGACUCCUACGGGAGGCAGCAGUGGGGAAUAUUGCACAAUGGGCGGAAGCCUGAUGCAGCGACGCCGCGUGAGGGAUGACGGCC
rnacentral:rRNA from 1 species